AAAAAAUUAACUUUAAAUAUAGUUCUAGAUAAAAUAUUGAUAAUGACAAAAAUUUAUCUAUAUGUCUUGACCAAAUCUUGUGCCAGCAGUCGCGGCAACACAAGGAAGACUAGUGUUAUUCAUCUUUAAUCGGUUUAAAGGGUACCUAGACGGUAAAUUAGGCCUUAUUCAACAUGUUGAAUUAGAGGAACGUUUUUACUAGAGUUAUAUAAAUAGGAAUAUGUUAGUAUUACCAGAGUAGAGAUGAAAUUCAGUAAUACUGUUAAGACUGGUAAAGGCAAAAGCAAACCUUUAUAUAUUAACUGACGUUGAGGGACGAAGGCUUGGGGAGCGAAUAGGAUUCGGUACCCUAAUAGUCCAGGCAGAAAAUUAUGAAUGCCAUAGAUUAUAUAAAAUAAUCUAUAAAUGAAAGUGUAAGCAUUCCACCUCAAGAGUAAUGUGGCAACGCAGGAACUGAAAUCAUUAGACCGUUUCUGAUACCAGUAGUGAAGUAUGUUAUUCAAUUUGAUGACCCGCAAAUAACCUUACCACAAUUUGAAUAUAUUAAAAAAAUAGUAUUUAACCUUUUUUUUUAAUAUACAAGCGUUGCAUUGUUGUCUUUAGUUAAUGUUGUGAGAUUUGGUUAGAUUCAUUAAAUUAACGUAAUCCUAUACUUUAUUUAGAUAUUAAUAAAGUAGUUCACCGCUAUAUUGGAUAUUUAUAAAUAGGAACAAGACAAGUCGUAAUGACCUUAAUAUUGUGGGCUAUAGACGUGCCACAUGUGCCUAAACAAAAGGAUGCAAAAAUGUAAAUUUAAGCUAAUCCCUAAAAUAGGAUAUAAUAUGGAUUGUAG
rnacentral:rRNA from 1 species